rnacentral:lncRNA from 1 species
AAAAACUGACUCUGUGCAGUUUUACCUAGUCAACUUCAAUUUAGAGCUCAAGACUCUGCACAUUCUCUACAAAAUACCAGAGUUUAUCCCUGAAGCUCAGAACCUGGACUUCUUGGUGCUCCUUGGUACAGAGACUUACACCGACACUCCUAUGAUUCCCCAGGGCUUGUACUUCAACACACUGAACAACGUGCUGUACAUUUGGGGCAAUUUCAUCCUGCAAAGGUAGGUAUAAGCCACCUCCCCAGGGACCCAGGCACAAAUACAUGGGCACACAUGCACACACGCAUGAACUCGCGUGUGCACACACACACACACACGUGUGUGCACACAUAUUUAUUUAUAUAAAUAAU